CAGUCGCCACGGUAAUACGAAGGGUGCAAGCGUUAAUCGGAAUUACUGGGCGUAAAGCGUGCGUAGGCGGUUUGUUAAGUCUGUUGUGAAAUCCCCGGGCUCAACCUGGGAAUGGCAAUGGAUACUGGCAAGCUAGAGUGUGUCAGAGGAUGGUGGAAUUCCCGGUGUAGCGGUGAAAUGCGUAGAGAUCGGGAGGAACAUCAGUGGCGAAGGCGGCCAUCUGGGACAACACUGACGCUGAGGCGCGAAAGCGUGGGGAGCAAACCGGAUUAGAUACCCGCGUAGUCCCUGUCUCUUAUAC
rnacentral:rRNA from 1 species